ACCCCUGGUUAGACCAGGGGUUCGGUAAAGCUUUCAGCUAUGGAACAUAUAAUAAAAACUCCUUUUGAUGUAAAAUAAAUUUGCGGUCUGGCAACUGCAAUAAAAAACAUCAAA
rnacentral:sRNA from 1 species